rnacentral:lncRNA from 1 species
AUAUUUCUCUACCUCAUGCAGAAUCUUAGAGCUCUGGCUUUGUGGCUCCAUGGCUGGGGGAGGGAGUGGAGACGGAGGAACUUGUCACUGCUCCAUGCCCCAUUGUUGAAAUGGAAAAUGUGGAAAUGUUAAGCCGUUUCUAGAGGAUUGUGGAAGGGGGAGUUAACUGUGAAGGCACUUAACAAUCUCCUUAUUGAGGAACGCGGGACUUUGUUUCCAAUGGAGGAAUUUCUGGCAUCAGAGAGCAGAUAGGGCAGAGGUGCUUUCUUCUGCGGCUCCUCAAGGCUCACAGCUUGCUAUGGAAGCAUCCUUGGAGGACAUCUCCUUCCCUGCCCUUUCCAUCAACGUUGGUUAAUCCAAUCUCCACCUUCUCUUAAAAGAUUGACAUGACGAGUGAGGAAGCCAAGGACAUUGCAUCCGCAUCUUAAACUUAAUCUCAGUACAUGAAAGGGGCUGCUUUGGAAAUAGAGCUUCAUGAAACAGGGAAAUCCCGUGGCCAGGAAACCCCUCGCUCCUCCCCACCCCACCCUGUGAGGAGUGUCUCCACUAGGAAGGAAAUUAAAUCAGUCUUCCAGCCACCAGAAUUGAAUUGGGAUGGAC